GGGGGGGUGGCUCAAGUGGUAGAGCACAUGCUUCCCAUGCAUGAGGUCCUGAGUUCAAUCCCCAGUACCUCCU